CCCUUAGAUGUUCUGGGCUGCACGCGCGCUACACUGAAGCGUUCAACGAGUAUUUCACCUUGCCCGGGAGGGUUGGGUAAUCUUUUUAAAACGCUUCGUGAUGGGGAUAGACCUUUGCAAUUAUGGGUCUUCAACGAGGAAUUCCUAGUAAACGCAAGUCAUCAGCUUGCAUUGAUUACGUCCCUGCCCUUUGUACACACCGCCCGUCGCACCUACCGAUUGAAUGGUCCGGUGAAAUCUCGGGACGGCGGCUUGGUCGCUUGCGUCCGACUGCUGAAACUUGAUUAAACCAUAUCAUUUAGAGGAAGGUGAAGUCGUAACA
rnacentral:rRNA from 1 species